CUACGGGUUGCACCAGUAGGGAAUAUUGCGCAAUGGGCGAAAGCCUGACGCAGCGACGCCGCGUGGACGACGAAGGCCUUCGGGUUGUAAAGUCCUGUCAGAGGGGAAGAAGGUGCUUGCACUGACGGUACCCUCAGAGGAAGCCCCGGCCAACUACGUGCCAGCAGCCGCGGUAAGACGUAGGGGGCGAGCGUUGUCCGGAUUCAUUGGGCGUAAAGAGCACGUAGGCGGCUCGUCAAGUCGGGUGUGAAAACCCGCGGCUCAACCGCGGGACUGCAUCCGAAACUGGCGGGCUUGAGUCCAGUAGAGGGAAGUGGAAUUCCCGGUGUAGCGGUGAAAUGCGCAGAUAUCGGGAAGAACACCGGUGGCGAAGGCGGCUUCCUGGGCUGAGACUGACGCUGAGGUGCGAAAGCUAGGGGAGCAAACAGGAUUAGAUACCCGCGUAGUC
rnacentral:rRNA from 1 species